UACGGGGGGGGCAAGCGUUGUUCGGAAUUACUGGGCGUAAAGGGCUCGUAGGCGGCCAACUAAGUCGGACGUGAAAUCCCCAGGCUCAACCUGGGAACUGCGUCCGAUACUGGAUGGCUUGAAUUCGGGAGAGGGAUGCGGAAUUCCAGGUGUAGCGGUGAAAUGCGUAGAUAUCUGGAGGAAUACCGGUGGCGAAGGCGGCAUCCUGGACCGACAUUGACGCUGAGGAGCGAAAGCUAGGGGAGCAAACGGG
rnacentral:rRNA from 1 species